rnacentral:rRNA from 1 species
UACGUAGGGGGCAAGCGUUGUCCGGAUUUAUUGGGCGUAAAGCGCGUGUAGGCGGCCACACAGGUCCGCUGUGAAAACUCGAGGCUCAACCUCGAGCUGUCGGUGGAAACCGUGUGGCUAGAGUCCGGAAGAGGAGACUGGAAUUCCCGGUGUAGCGGUGGAAUGCGCAGAUAUCGGGAGGAACACCAGUGGCGAAGGCGACUCUUUGGUCUGUAACUGACGCUGAGGCGCGAAAGCGUGGGGAGCAAACAGG